rnacentral:lncRNA from 1 species
CGGGGUUUGUAAUUUGGCCGUGGGUAGGUAAUUGGCUGGAGCAGGGCGGCAGGGCGCGGCAGCCAAUCAGCGCGCGGCUUCUAUAGGGCUUGAGUUAUUAGACGCUGAUCUCAAAACAUCCUUCAUCAGACACGAAGGAGAGGCCAACAGAUGAGGGAAGCCAUUUUUCUGCAAUGGAAUUAAAUGGCCAAGUGGGUUUUUCCUUUGUUGCAAAUGGGGAAUGUUUUUCCUUUGACUCUACCAUCCAGUUCAGGACGUCUCAGUGUGUUUAACAUUUGUCAACAGGCCCAAGGACUCACAGUUGGAAGACUGGAGAAGACUUUUUAAAAAGAUCUGGAUUUUUCCUUAUGACUUGGAAUCCAUCUUUGUCUUGUAUAACUAGGUCAUAGCACACCAUUCAUGUCAGCAGUUAACAGUUUUGAAUUCCAAAAAAACCUAAAGCAGUAAACAGUCCUCAGCGAAGCCGCCUUUUUGCCUACCCAACCCUGGAAAGUUUGCAGAAGUGGAAGGAGCAGAACGUGAGGGUGUAACUUACAAAAAGGUUCUGGGCCGGAGAAGGGGCGACGUUCGGGCACCCCCCGAAUGGACAAUCUUUCCUUCUGUCAACGGCAGGGGCAGGCCUAGUUUGACUCUGACAGUCCUCCCACUAAGGUAGGUGUGAGUACUUGCCCAGACCGUGAGGGAGAUUUGGGGGGCUCUGGCCUGCAGCCCAGGGAGGGCCGAACCCCAAACACGCCGGGCUGGUUCUGCGGCCCCGCC